rnacentral:rRNA from 1 species
UACGUAGGCAGCAAGCGUUGUUCGGAAUUACUGGGCGUAAAGAGUGUGUAGGCGGUGCUCUAAGUUCGGUGUGAAAUCUCCUGCUUAACUGGGAGGGUGCGCCGGAAACUGGAGUGCUCGAGCGUGGGAGAGGAAAGCGGAAUUCCUGGUGUAGCGGUGAAAUGCGUAGAUAUCAGGAGGAACACCUGCGGUGUAGACGGCUUUCUGGACCAUUGCUGACGCUGAGACACGAAAGCGUGGGUAGCAAACAGG